GCUGGAGUAGCUCAGUCGGCAGAGCACGGGCAUGGUAAGUCCGGGGUCGCGGGUUCGAUUCCCGCCUCCAGCUCGA
rnacentral:tRNA from 1 species